CAACAUUUUCAAGAAUGUGUUUUUAUCCAGGCUAAGGGUGCUUUCUCAUCUUUUUUCCUUCUCAGUCAUCAAGUGCAUAUAAAGGGAGGGUCCACGCCCAGGGUUGCCAAGCAGUGGGCAUCCUGCAAACUCUAAGUCUAUUCCUGAAAGUGUUCUCCUCCUAUGUCCAAGGACCAUGGUCUCCUUGGUGGUCCUCUCCAUCCUCAUCAUCUUGGUAGCAGGCCUGUGCUUUGAACCCAAGCAUGACAUGACACCCCAAAGGACUGCUGCUUCCACUAUUCCUCUUGCAAGAUUCCCAGUGUAGUUGCUUGUUAUGAGACCAGCAGCUGGUGCCCCAAGCCAGGAGUCAUGGUCAUCACCAAGACACAGCGCCAGUUCUGUGUCCACCCAAGGAAUGUCACAAACUGUGGCAUUUCCCUACUACCAGAGAAAGUCCUAGAGAUGGAAAUCUUCUAGAAGAUUAUGGAAUACCAUUCUCAGAUAACACCUCCCUAUAUAUGCAUAUGAUUUCUCAAAAAUAAACUUACAUUGGACUUAAUAGGACUCA
rnacentral:lncRNA from 1 species